rnacentral:rRNA from 1 species
UGAGGAAUAUUGGGCAAUGCCCGCAAGGGUGACCCAGCAACGCCGCGUGGAGGAUGAAUGUCGUAAGAUUGUAAACUCCUGUUAGAGGGGAAGAAUAGUACCGGUUGGACCGGUAUAUGACUGUACCCUCAGAGAAAGCCCCGGCUAACUACGUGCCAGCAGCCGCGGUAAUACGUAGGGGGCAAGCGUUGUCCGGAUUUACUGGGUGUAAAGGGCGCGCAGGCGGGAUAAAAAGUCAGUGGUGAAAUCCUACAGCUUAACUGUAGAACUGCCUUUGAUACUUUUAUUCUUGAGUUCGGGAGAGAGAGACGGAAUUCCAGGUGUAGUGGUUAAAUACGUAGAUAUCUGGAAGAACACCAGUUGCGAAGGCGGUCUCUUGGUCCGACACUGACGCUGAGGCGCGAAAGCGUGGGGAGCAAACA